AACGAACGCUGGCGGCAUGCCUAACACAUGCAAGUCGAACGAGAUCUUCGGGUCUAGUGGCGCACGGGUGCGUAGCGCGUGGGAAUCUGCCCUUUGGUUCGGAAUAACAGUUGGAAACGACUGCUAAUACCGGAUGGUGACGAAAGUCCAAAGAUUUAUCGCCAGAGGAUGAGCCCGCGUAGGAUUAGCUAGUUGGUGUGGUAAAGGCGCACCAAGGCGACGAUCCUUAGCUGGUCUGAGAGGAUGAUCAGCCACACUGGGACUGAGACACGGCCCAGACUCCUACGGGAGGCAGCAGUGGGGAAUAUUGGACAAUGGGCGAAAGCCUGAUCCAGCAAUGCCGCGUGAGUGAUGAAGGCCUUAGGGUUGUAAAGCUCUUUUACCCGGGAUGAUAAUGACAGUACCGGGAGAAUAAGCUCCGGCUAACUCCGUGCCAGCAGCCGCGGUAA
rnacentral:rRNA from 1 species